rnacentral:rRNA from 1 species
UACGUAGGGGGCAAGCGUUGUCCGGAUUUAUUGGGCGUAAAGAGCGUGUAGGCGGUUUGGUAGGUCCGCUGUGAAAACUCGAGGCUCAACCUCGAGACGCCGGUGGAAACCAUCAGGCUAGAGUCCGGAAGAGGAGAGUGGAAUUCCUGGUGUAGCGGUGGAAUGCGCAGAUAUCAGGAGGAACACCAAUAGCGAAGGCAGCUCGCUGGGACGUUACUGACACUGAGGCGCGAAAGCGUGGGGAGCGAACAGG